GCAAGCGCAGCAGUGUGAGUGUGGGAGUUCAAUCCCCAGAGCCCAGAUGAAAAAGCCAGAUGUGGCAGUACACAAUCGUAAUGCCCGCGCUGGGAAGACAGAGAUGGUUAGACCCUGGCAGUUCCAUAGCCAGCUGGCCAAGCUGAAAUGGCCAAGAAUAUGGGGCAGCAGUUCCAGGAUACUUGAUGGAGUGUUUGAUUCCAUAUGUUCCUGAGGCCUCUCUUCCUCCUGUUCCAAUGACAUUGGAGUGCAAGGACACAGGAACCCCAGGACACAACCAUCUCUUUCUACUUCCUCAUCCUGAGGAGAUGUGAGGAUGAGCUCAGAUAUUCAGAGCUUCUGAGGUACUGUUUGAUUCAUGGUCUUCUAAACGGUUUUGUUUAAAAGGAUACUUGUUUCCUGCCAACUUCUGAUGGCUGCCCUCUACUACGCUUGCUUUCCCUUCCCAGAAGCCCACAGGCCAUGAGCCUAAGUUUGCAUCACUGGCAGGGGUCCUCCUCCGUUGGCCCUAAGCUCAGUGUGGCUGAUGGAGUGUUCCUUGGAGCCUGCCCAUCCAAACACAGAGGUGUCCAAAGCCGGAGGCGAUGACACCGCAGCCUUCCAUGGAAGGCCUGGAGUCGUUACAUAAGAAGGCAGGAAGGGAAGGUGCUUAAAAGAUGGAAAGACAGGAGCUCACAGGUGUGCUCUGGCCUUGCUUUGCUUUGUGAAUGUGUGAGGAGGCUUCACUGACUCUACCGUUGCAAGCCAGCCAAGGUAGAAAAAAGCGAAUGCAGAAAAAGCUGUGCCCCUUUGAACUACAUAGGCGUCACCUGAGAAUACCCAGCAAGGCCAUCCAUAGCCAAGUUCAAGUUCCAAGUAACUGGAAAGUUCCCACGCUGAAAGGACCCAGGCUCAAAAUAAAAAGAAUAAAUACAUUUAUCUUCAUGGCAUCCCGUAAAUGUCCCUUAAGUAAGGUCCGUAAAGGAAGUCUCUAGGGUGUUUUAUAAUUACUAUGUAGUAUGAACAGUUUUCUUAACACAUUAGUAAACACGUCUUUCAACCCAGCACAGCCUUCUCUUAUGCAGUAGUCUCCCACCCCAGGCAUCCUGGCCUCUCUACUGUCUCAGGCUCCAAACCCCUACCCUACCCUGCCCUGCACUGCAUCCUAACACAGAGGAGUCUCAUUUCACUGGUGAGUUAAUAGAACCAAAGGUUUAACUGCGUUAGCAGAUUUAUGCGUCAAGCUUUAGAACUUAACUUUGAGUCAGUUGAGACACUUUUUCCAAACCUACAGUAAUUAACAAUGCUUAGAAUUCCUCGUCCUCAUGGCAAAUCCAUGAAGGACAGGAACAGCACAGGACAAGGAAGUCUUUAGGGGCUCUCACAGCGGGGCUAAGAAGCACUGCUAGCAUGAGGCCAUGGCCGCAAGCUUGGGCUCCUGGACGGAAGGACCUAUCAUGGCAGCAUUCACACACAUCUCUCAUCCGGGUCCUCGUCUUUCAGAUACCGACUCAUAUGUAUAUUAAAUACUGUGGAAGUAGUGACGCUCAUUCAACAGUUUCAGAUUGUUUUGAUUUUCCGUGGUGAGCACAAUGUUCCCCUCCUCCAAAGUGGGUGUCUUUUCUGGAACAUGCCAAUGUGUAAUUUUACAAAAAUAAUAAGAAA
rnacentral:sRNA from 1 species